rnacentral:rRNA from 1 species
UACGGAGGGGGUUAGCGUUGUUCGGAAUUACUGGGCGUAAAGCGCAUGCAGGCGGUUUGUUAAGCGAGAUGUGAAAGCCCCGGGCUCAACCUGGGAACUGCAUUUCGAACUGGCAAACUAGAGUUCGAGAGAGGUGAGUGGAAUUCCGAGUGUAGAGGUGAAAUUCGUAGAUAUUCGGAGGAACACCAGUGGCGAAGGCGAUUUUCUGGACUGAUAUUGACGCUGAGAUGCGAAGGCAUGGGUAGCAAACGGG